rnacentral:rRNA from 1 species
AAAACAUCGCCUCUUGAACCCUUAAAAAUAAGAGGUCCCGCCUGCCCUGUGACUUAAAGUUUAACGGCCGCGGUAUUCUAACCGUGCAAAGGUAGCGCAAUCACUUGUCUUUUAAAUGAAGACCUGUAUGAAUGGCACAACGAGGGCUAAACUGUCUCCUUCUCCUAGUCAAUGAAAUUGAUCUCCCCGUGCAGAAGCGGGGAUAAAUACAUAAGACGAGAAGACCCUAUGGAGCUUAAAACGAAAGAGUAGACCAUGUUGAAACCCUUUAAUCAACAGGUAUAAACUAAAUGGCCCGCUACUCUAGUGUUUUCGGUUGGGGCGACCACGGAGUAUAACAAAACCCCCGUGAGGAAAAAAUGAACAACAUUUUAAGCUAAGAGUGACAACUCUAAGCAACAGAAAUUCUGACCCUGCAGAUCCGGCCAAGCCGAUCAACGGACCGAGUUACCCUAGGGAUAACAGCGCAAUCCCCUUCUAGAGCCCACAUCGAC